GCCUGAUGUGAUCUCCCAGGUGGAACAAGGGCAAGAGUCAGGUGCCCUGACUCUCCAAGACUCCAAGAAAACAGACAUCUUUAGAGGCACCUGAACUGCAGACAAUAAGAUCAUCCUGAAGAGGUCACUCCUCAGCAGAAAGAUCCCAAAAAGACAGAACCAUACUGGACAUUAGCUGGGAGACCAGCAGGGGAUAUUGCCCGGAAUCCUGACUGUGGAAAAAUCUCUGAGAGUCAGGGCAGGUCAGAAAGGAAAGAGGGAAAUUCUGUAGGGAAGAACCAGGAUAAAUUGGUUCACCAUGAAAGAGGUUUGGGAGGACACAAGAGCAUCAUUGCCCAGGGAGAGGGUCCGAAUACGUGUAUAGGAUGUGGGAAAAGCUUCUGUCUGAGAUCAAAUCUUAUUACACACCAGAAACUCCACAUGGGAGAAAAACCUUAUAAAUGUACUGAGUGUGGGAAAAGCUUCCUUCAGAACUCUAAAUUUAGUCAGCACCAGGGAAUCCACAUGGGAAAGAAACCCUAUAAAUGUCUGGAAUGCGGAAAAGGCUUCACUCUGAGCUCCACACUCAUUCAUCAUCAGAAAACCCACAGGAGAGAGAGGCCCUACAGAUGCACUGAAUGUGGGAAAAGCUUCAAUAAACACUCAACACUCGCACAGCAUCAGAGAAUCCACACCGGAGAGAAACCCUUCAGAUGUGCAGUAUGUGGGAAAAGCUUCAGUCGGAGCUCAACGCUCAUUUAGCAUGAGAGGAUCCACACGGGGAACAAACAGCAUAAAUGUGCUGAAUGUGGGAAGAGAUUUAGUCAGAACUCAGAUCUGAUUGUACAUCAGAGAAUCCACACGGGCGAGGAACUCCACAAUUGUACUGAGUGUUGGAAAAGGUUUAGCUGCAGGUCAACGCUUAUUAAACAUCAGAGGAUCCAUACAGGACAGAGACCCUAUAAGUGCCCUGAAUGUAAGAAAAGCUUCUCCUGGAGCUCAGACCUUAUUUGUCACCAGAGGGUCCACAUGGAGGAGAAUCCCUAUAAAUGCACUAAGUGUGGGAAAAGCUUCGGUCGGAAAUCACAACUCAUCCAGCACCAGAAAAUGGAUUUCUGGUUCCCAAACCUGAUGUGAUCUCCCAGACGGAACGAGGGGAAGAGCCAUGUGUUCCAGAUCUCCAGGCCACCAAAAAAAGAGAGGUUCUGAAAGCUACCCAG